UAGCUGGUCUGAGAGGAUGAUCAGCCACACUGGAACUGAGACACGGUCCAGACUCCUACGGGAGGCAGCAGUGGGGAAUAUUGCACAAUGGGCGCAAGCCUGAUGCAGCCAUGCCGCGUGUAUGAAGAAGGCCUUCGGGUUGUAAAGCACUUUCAGUCGUGAGGAAGGUGGUAGUGUUAAUAGCACUAUCAUUUGACGUUAGCGACAGAAGAAGCACCGGCUAACUCCGUGCCAGCAGCCGCGGUAAUACGGAGGGUGCGAGCGUUAAUCGGAAUUACUGGGCGUAAAGCGCAUGCAGGUGGUUUGUUAAGUCAGAUGUGAAAGCCCGGGGCUCAACCUCGGAAUGCAUUUGAAACUGGCAGACUAGAGUACUGUAGAGGGGGGUAGAAUUUCA
rnacentral:rRNA from 1 species